rnacentral:rRNA from 1 species
AACGCGAAGAACCUUCCAGGUCUUGACAUCCUUUGACCCUCUAGAGAUAGAGCUUUCCCUUCGGGGACAAAGUGACAGGUGGUGCAUGGUUGUGUCAGCUCGUGUCGUGAGAUGUUGGGUUAAGUCCCGCAACGAGCGCAACCCUUAUUACUUAGUUGCCAGCAUUUAGUUGGGCACUCUAGUGAGACUGCCGGUGACAAACCGGAGGAAGGUGGGGAUGACGUCAAAUCAUCAUGCCCCUUAUGACCUGGGCUACACACGUGCUACAAUGGAUGGUACAACGAGUCGCAAGGUCGCGAGGCCAAGCUAAUCUCUUAAAGCCAUUCUCAGUUCGGAUUGUAGGCUGCAACUCGCCUACAUGAAGCCGGAAUCGCUAGUAAUCGCGGAUCAGAACGCCGCGGUGAAUACGUUCCCGGGUCUUGUACACACCG